rnacentral:rRNA from 1 species
AUUGAACGCUGGCGGCAGGCUUAACACAUGCAAGUCGAACGAGUGGCGGACGGGUGAGUAAUGUCUGGGAAACUGCCUGAUGGAGGGGGAUAACUACUGGAAACGGUAGCUAAUACCGCAUACCAUCGGAUGUGCCCAGAUGGGAGUAGCUAGUAGGGGGGGUAAAGGCUCACCUAGGCGACGAACCCUAGCUGGUCUGAGAGGUUGACCAGCCACGCUGGAACUGAGACACGUUCCAGACUCCUACGGGAGGCAGCAGUGGGGAAGAUUGCACAAUGGGCGCAAGCCUGAUGCAGCCAUGCCGCGUGUGUGAAGAAGGCCUUCGGGUUGUAAAGCACUUUCAGCGGGGAGGCGUUACCCGCAGAAGAAGCACCGGCUAACUCCGUGCCAGCCGCCGCGGUAAUUC